GCUAGAAGAUCUGGGAUAUCUACAGAAAGGAAACAAGCAAAAUUCAUCACUGCUACCAAGAGGAGGAGAGUUACAGAUGCUCAGGAUUUGAGUACAAAGGAAUAGGAAUAGAGCUGAACAGAUUCAACACCAGAAAGGACGAUUGGAUCUCAAAAUAUGAAAGUCCCUUCAUUCAAUAAAGCAACAGGAUUGGCUCUGAGGAGCGGUAAGCAACAUUUGAUGAAGGAAACAGGCAGCGUGGACAGUAUUCAAGACACAAUGUUUAAAAGUUGCUGCUGGGAUGGAAGCAAAGAAGAAAGCCCUGGAGAUGGGUUAGUGCUGGGACACAGGCACUAUCCUGGAGGGGCCUGGGACAGGGUGUUUAACCAUAGCGACCAGUGGGUCCUUUCCCCACUGUGGUCCUGGCUCGCAUGCACAGGGUGAAACCGAUCGCCAUGUUUGGGGUCAGGAAGGAAUUUUCCUCCAGGGCAGAUUGGCCAGAGACCCUGGAGGUUUUUCGCCUUCCUCUGGGGCAUCGAGCAGGGACCAGCCCUUAGGGCCAUUUAGGAACAGACAUAAUAAAAUCAAUCAGAGAGAA